UACCGAGGAAAACCUCGGCAAUUAACUGCAGCUGGUUCCUUCAAAAUUCGGCAGUUAACUGCCGAAGAAUAU
rnacentral:pre_miRNA from 1 species